GUAAGUGCAGUGUGUUUGUGUGUGUGACUAUGUGCAUAUGUGUGUGUAAGAGACUACGCGUGCGUGCGUGUGUGUGUGUGUGUGUGCUCUCCUCUCUCCCCCUCUCCUCUGGUCUGAUUUGAAUGAGCUCUUCUGAGGCCUGCUGGGUAAAGGGGCUGCUGGGUAAAGGAGCUCCUGGGUAAAGGAGCUGCUGGGUAAAGGGGCUGCUGGGUAAAGGGGCUGCUGGGUAAAGAGGCUGCUGGGUAAAGAGGCUGCUGGGUAAAGGAGCUGCUGAAAACAGAGGCAUUAUCCAAAGGCACUGAGGUAAUUAGGCUGGCUGACAUCCCCAGGCAGACACACCUAUCUGCCAUCAGCAGGGAGGAGACCUGUCUGCAGCCUCCGACACAGGGCUGGAUGGACACACACACACACACACACACACACACACACACACACACACACACACACUUACUUUAAUACUUUGCUUUGACACACACACCACACACACACACACACCGUUCUAAAAUAUCACAUAUUUACUCCUAGGGCUCCAUUGGGCUCCAUUGGGCUCCAUCGGGCCAGUUGGUUUGCCAGGUAUCAUGUUGGCAGGAUAUGUUCAAGUGUAUAUUUAAAUGAGUUGGUGUGUUUGUCAGACUCCUAGUGUUAUCUGCAGUUGUGCUGAAAUGUUCUCUGGUCUAAACACACGUCACUGGGCUCAGAAACCCGCAGUAAGGCAGGGCGGAGUGGAGAUCAUGACAGCCUGUAAUUUCACUUUGUUUAAGACUACCGUGUGUGUGUGUGUUUGGAUUUCACUGACUGUUUGAAUGAGUGAGUGUGUGUGUUUGUGUGUGUCCAUGCUUGUGGAUUAGACCAUUUCCUGUUGUUCAGUGAAGGCUUGCCGUGAUUCGGCCUUCAGCUGAAGUGAAGUCGUGAAGUAAAACGAACAGAAUAGAGUUAUAUAAUAAUAUAUAUACAGAAUAGAGUUAUCUAGUUAUAUAUACAGAAUAGAGUUAGUCUUUGAUGAGAUACUUUCAUGCCAUGCUAAAUAAAUCCCCACAGAUGCUCAUGUUCAUACGGUGGUUCCUUUAGCUAACCCUAUAGAACAAGGUUCCUGAAAAACACAAGUUUUACAUAAAGGUCACGUUUUUUUAUGUCAA
ensembl:lncRNA